CGUCACUGCACAACUAUUUUCAGGUCUCUCCAGAGAUGUUCGAUCGGGUUCAAGUCCGGGCUCUGGCUGGGCCACUCAAAGACAUUGAGACUUGUCCCGAAACCACUCCUACAUUGUCUUGGCUACUUUCCUAGUCCCUGCCGCUGAUAAACAUCCCCAAAGCAUGACGCUGCCACCACCAUGCUUCAGCGUAGGGAUGGUGCCAGGUUUCCUCUAGAUGUGACGCUUGGCAUUCAAGCCAUAGAGUUGGUUUUCAUCAGACCAGAGAAUCUUGUUUCUAAACCCAAACAGGAUGUUCAGAAAAACAGUUAUUCUUCUUUGGUGUGUGUGUUGAUUCUGAGAAAGGGAACCAUCCUUUAGGUCCACGUAAUGAGAUAUGUGACAUGUUAAAUACCUCAGACUAAUUUCCAUGUCAUGUCAUAUGGUCUCAUGAGAUACGACAUGUAUGUAAUAUAUGUAUAUAUAUAUUUGACUGGCCUUUGAUAGUGCGUCCAAGCAGAUCAGAGUGUAUGACUCAAAGGGCUCCCCGCCGAGGCUUCGGGUACGAGGCUUCCGGUCCGAGGCUUCGGGUUCGAGGCUUCGGGUGCGAGGCUUCGGGUGCGAGGCUUCGGGUGCGAGGCUUCGGGUGCGAGGCUUCGGGUGCGAGGCUUCGGGUGCGAGGCUUGGGGUGCGAGGCUUCGGGGUGCGAGGCUUGGGGUGCGAG
rnacentral:lncRNA from 1 species